rnacentral:rRNA from 1 species
ACGUACACUCCUGCGGGAGGCAGCAGUGGGGAAUAUUGGACAAUGGGCGCAAGCCUGAUCCAGCCAUGCCGCGUGAGUGAUGAAGGCCCUAGGGUUGUAAAGCUCUUUCACCGGUGAAGAUAAUGACGGUAACCGGAGAAGAAGCCCCGGCUAACUUCGUGCAAGCAGCCGCGGUAAUACGAAGGGGGCUAGCGUUGUUCGGAUUUACUGGGCGUAAAGCGCACGUAGGCGGACUAUUAAGUCAGGGGUGAAAUCCCGGGGCUCAACCCCGGAACUGCCUUUGAUACUGGUAGUCUUGAGUUCGAGAGAGGUGAGUGGAAUUCCGAGUGUAGAGGUGAAAUUCGUAGAUAUUCGGAGGAACACCAGUGGCGAAGGCGGCUCACUGGCUCGAUACUGACGCUGAGGUGCGAAAGCGUGGGGAGCAAACAGGAUUAGAUACCCGUGUAGUCCCAUG